GGCUCAUCCUACUUGAGCUGAUGGAGUUAUUUUUAAGGUUUCUUCUUAUCCUGAUCUCCUGAUAAUCACAAAACCCCUACAUUUUAUGGAAUAUGGGCUGUUUAUGGGGGUUGUGAGGUAGGUCACCACGUAGACAGGCCUCGGCCCCUGUGACAUCAUGGGAUAGCAUGGAACUUUGAAUCAGGUUUUAGAUGCCAUUCCUUACCACCUUGAUACCAGGAGCAUCUUGAGGUCAGCACAUUCCCCUAAAGGGUCUGUGUAGAAUGAGAGCAGCUGGAAACCACACAGAACAGGAUGCAUAAGAAAUAGGAAGUAGAAGCAUGGAAGGAGGGGAUGAUCCCCUGAAAACGAGAGACGUGUACUGGCCACAGCAAGCUUAGGAUGACGUCCAGAGUGAACGCACGGGGCUAGGAGUAAACACUGGACUUGGUGAAUAAGGGAGGACAUGUGCAGGUAAUUGUUUCCUGAACUAGAAAGUCUCUGAUCUGGCUUGUGAAUUCAGUCAAUCAAAAAGAGCACUUCGAUCUUAUAAAACCAACUGAAAGAACCACUUCUCCUCGUUUGUAUGAAGAGAAGUCAGUAAGGAGUGACUCUCAGAAGACAACUGGAGUGAGGAUACAUGGUGCCACCAUGCCCCCACAAAGCUGAAUAAAGUCUCCCCUGGUCCAGGAUCCCAGUCCUGCCUGAGACCCAGGACAUAAAUACGUUCUACGGUGGGAUCAGGGUCAUCAAGGUCUGCAUGGUCCCUGUUUCUCUUCUACCCUGAGCUCUUCCUUCUGACUCUCACAGCAACAGCACCUCCCAAGGUUCCAGCUUCCCUUCAAAGUCACUGUGGGAGUGUUUCUCUGACUCUACAGAAAGCACCAUCCCUGGAAUGCAGUACGCUGCAGCUGCUCCAAGGCAGCCAUUUGGGGCUGAGAAAGCAGCUCUCCACUGCUUCCUCCAAAGGCAGGAGCAGCCCAGUGGCAGGACUGCCCAUGAGUCUCCUCGUCAACAGACCCUGAGCCUCUGAUGUAAGAAGCCAGAUGUGAUGGAGAUAGGUAGGCUCUGCUUACUGCCUGUCACUCUGAGACUGGCCUUCUCUCAAGGGAGAGCUCGACGUCACCAUUGUUGGUGAGUUUCAUUUUAGUACACCAGGUGUAAAAAUAACCGCUCAUCCCAGACUGGAGGACUCGGUUUCUGGGUGCUCUUGAGUCAGCCUUCCUGAGUUCUCAAACAUAUUUAAUGGGAAGUUGGGAGGGGAAGAGUUAAUGACCAUGAGCACAAAUUCACUUUCAACUGCUGUUACCAUGACAAACUGUUACCAUGACAAUUUAAAAGUUAUUUUGAACAACCAAAAAGAGUCACAGUACUCAGAACUUGUGAAGCCUGGUCCCUUUCUAUGUCACAAUGAGAAGAUUAUUGGGCCAGAACUGGCUGGAGUCAGAUACGAGCAGAUGUCUGGCACCAGCAUCUUUAGGUCCAGAGAGCGAUUGAGGACACAGAGUCAGGAGCUUCCCUGAGUCUGAGGAAAGGGACAGGAGAAACUAGGAGGGCUUCUUGGUUUCUGCUUGUGCUAGAACAUCCUGUAGCCACCAACCCAGAAGCCAUGGCUCAGCGUACAGGAGAAGCAACAGUAGGGAGAGACUCUCAGACUGUGACUGCCCAGCUCUGUGGGUUUGGAGGCAGAAGGAUGGGAAAACAACUUCCCUGAGACCAGUCUCCACUUCUCCACUCAGCACAAGCCAGGCCUUAGGCAACUGCCCUGGUGUUGCAGCUGAAUACACCUGCUUCAGAGUGUGCGUUUGUGGACAGUUUGUCUCAAGGCAAUGAGACUCCAGCACCUCCCUACCUAUUCUGUCCUCUAACAACCAAGUUAGUGACAGUGUUGAACUUUACCUGAGCCCUGUGCUCCAAAAAAACAGCUAGGCUUAAGAAAUCCUCCAAUCUUUUGUUUGGGGAAACCCUCCCCCCCAACAUCUGUCUUCUAGGAAACAGCUUAACUCAAAAAAUUACCCUUCCCCAUGGCUUAGAUAAGACUCGCUGUCCACUGUUUCUCAUGGCUCCCAUAAGAGUCAAGGAUGGCUCCCUUGUUUACCUUUGGCAAGGCCAGACACAGACCCUUUUGCCUGAACCUGCUGACAAGGCUACACACAGACACUCCAACUUCUUGUUCUUUGAGUAACUGAGAUUAGAAGUGUCUGUCUCGCUGAAACUAGCUAACCACAGAGGAAAACGGUUGCUGGUCAGAUAACUUAGACUUGCCCUUCUUGCAAACAACUCCACCUGCAACUUGGUUAUCCCUUACUACAGAGGACGAAGGUAGAACCAAUCUGCCGAGACACUCUGAUCUGUGGAUCUGGGGUGCCCUCCCUGUUGCAAUAACCUAAAUAAAGUCUUCUCCUUAACUGCCCACUGUGUUUUCUCUUUGACACUAGGCUACCUCCUGCCAGGCCAAAGCCACCAUCCCACAUAUCCCCCUUCCAAACUGUCCCCCUGGACCUCAUUGCCAUGUUUUUCUCCAUUUUCCUUCUCUAAUCCUACCAGGGUUGAUCUGGGAGGCUAG
rnacentral:lncRNA from 1 species